rnacentral:lncRNA from 1 species
AUGAGACGGGGAGAGCCACCCCCAGUGUCUCCUGGUUCUGGGGAUCCCCGUGAGACCCCCCGGGGACCACCCUGCGCGAGGGAGGCGGUGGUGGUGGCGGUGGGCGGAGGCGGUGGGAGGACACCGAGGACGGUCGGUGAGGUGAGCGUUUCUGGGGGUGGUGCAGAGGCUCGAUGGUGGACGGUGUGCCAGCCGGUGCCACACUGCACCUCUCUGCCCUCAUCUUUUCGAAUCGGGGGCCCUAACCCCUGUCUUUCACGGGGUGCUGCCGGGUCAAGGCAUUCAUCCUCUAGCUGAGCAGAGACGACUGGCCGCCCUGAGCGCAAUUCAAUUCAACAGACAUUUACUGAGUGCCUACUAUGCGCCAGGCCUUAGGCUGGGCACUGGGGGAGGGACGCAGACAGGAAGACAGGGUCCUGUCCUCAGGUAGCUCCAGGCGGGGGAGGGGGCAUGGAGAAGACAGGCAAGGGCUAAACAGCUCAGCACCAGGAGGGAAGCUGCUUGGUGGGCUGGAUGCAGCAGAGACCCGGGUUCAAGUGCAUCACUGGAGAGCUGCUGUUCCUCGUCCGCACCUCAGUUUCCCCUACUUGUAAAAUGGGGGAGAUGAUCUCUAGGACCCAUCCAGGAUUCCAAGGGCUAUACCUCGGGGUUGUGGGGGCAGAGCAGGGGGGUCACCCUGCAGAAGGGAGAUCUCCAGAGGCUUCUCAGAGGAGGAGGCAUAAGGUCUCGGCCCAGGGGAUGGGGACAGGUGGGAAUGGGUCCCAGGGUUAGUACCAGCUAAUCGCUAGUGAGUAACGGCCUGGUGGAUAUGGGUGUGGGCGUGCCCUCAAUUCCAUAGGGUUGCGAGGGGACAUGGUGGGCUGUGAGCUUAGAGAGGGAGAGAGGGGUUCUAGGGCCACAGGUUGGGGUGUGAGCUCUAUUCUGGGGCCAGUGGGAGCCAUUGUGGGCUGUUGAGGGAGAGUCAGGAACAGCUGGUCCUGCUCUGUCUCACCCUCUUCUCUCUCCCUCUCUGGGGCACACUUCAGGAUCACGUUCCCAUAGAACCUUGCAGCCAUGUGGCCUUGGCAGCACCUGCACUGUGCCAGGCACUGUGUACAUUAGUCCUCAUUGCGGCCCCAAUUCACAGAGGAGGAUGCCGAGCUCUGAGAGGAAGCUCUUGCCCAAGGUCAUAAUCUGACCCCCAAGCCCCGCAUGCUUCUCCCACUACCUCCCCCUGAAAGAGUUCCUAUUCUCUGUGACCUCUCCCAUCCUGGGGACGGCCCCCACAAAGCCCCGGGGAGUGCCUGCCAAGGGCAAUGCAGUUGGGUUUGGAGGGUGAGGUCAAGAAAAUCCCAGAUGUUAGCAGGACUGGCUUUCUCCAAGACCUGAGUUUCUGCCCUAUCAGCCACCCUCUGGGAUAGAGAGUGAGGCGGGGCUCCUUCCCACUUUACAGAUGAGAAGACUGAGGCCCUGAGAGUCAUGUGGUUAGUCCAAGGUGAAACUCAAGGGAGUGACAGCCUAGGCUAGAAGCUGGUCUCUUUAUUGCCCAACCGAGGCUGGAGGGAGGCUGAAGUCCCCUGAGAUCUGUGCAAAAGCUGACCCCUCCCCGACCUCCCCAGGGAGCAGAAGAGCCCAGAAGAGCAUUGGAGUCACAGACCUGGUUCAAAUCCUGGUUUUGUCUUUUGCAUGAACUGUGUGAUCUGAGCAAGUCAUGAAUUACUUGGAGCCUCGAUUUCCUUAUCUAUAUGAGGGCGGCGAGCUGGCCUCCUUCACUCAGCCAUGAACAAAUAUUUAUUGAGCACCUACUAGGAGAAGCAGGACCCUUCCUCGGGGAACUCAGUCCAGAGGUAGCAGCAGCAGUUAUGAUUCCGGUUGUGAUGGAGGAAGCGCAGGGGGCUGUGGGGACCCACAGGAGAGACCCCGGCCAGGUUGGAAGAAGGCAGGCAGGUAGGAGGGCAGAACAGGCAGCGGCUCCCACAAGACCAUGUGGGCUGGGCUCUGGAUGCUGUUGGAAUUUUCCCAGAUCAGCCCGAGCCAACGAAGACUUUUCAGCAGGGAGUGCCAUGCUCAGGUUGAUGUUCUAGAAAGUUCAUCUUCUGCUGGGUGGAGGGGGCAUGGAGUGGGGAGGUAGGGUUAGAGGUAGAGAGACCAGCAGGAGCAGUAGGGGGAGGCGGCGGCACCAAGGCGGGACUAGGGGCAGGUGGGGAGGUGUGGGUGCCUCUCACCGUGUCUGGGAACUGGGAGAGAAGCAGGGGAGGAGGGGGAAGGGGCCGUGGGAGAUGAGUCCAGCUGUGGAGGUGGACAUGGACGAGUUUCAGGUGCCAGGGAAGGGCCCCGGAGGCAGCUGGGUACGGUGAUUUGGGUGUGGUCAGCCCAGAGCUGACAUUAGAAGCCUUGGGAGGGGUUGAAGGGCUCUUGGGGUAGGGGAGGGGGAAGCGGGUUUGAGAGAGGCCGUGAGCAGGGACCAGGACAUCAGAGGAGGCCACUGCUUGGCUUACAAGCAGAGGAGCCCGAGGGGCCGCGGCCUGGGAGGUUGCGGGAAAGCAAAGCUGCAGGUCCCCAGCCCAGGAAGAAGGUGGCAGGACUUAGGUCUGCGGGGAGAUUUCAAAAGGUGACAUGUCAGGCGCUGUGCCUGGCACCAGCGCGGACGAGGUGCCCAGGAGGGUCAGCUCCUGCAUCUUUUCACCUGAAGGCAGAAGCUUAGUCUGUCCCUUACCCUCCUGAGGAGGAUGAGGAGGCUACAGAGGGGGAAGGUGUCGGGGAAGGAGGAAAAGGGGAAAAACAUUUGCAUGCAUGACAAGGCUGAAGUGAGGGAGAGAGAAAGGGGGAGAAAGAGGAAAAUAAAUUACCAUACACCAGGAUCUUGUUAUUCAAGCUAAUUUUCAAAGGACCACAGCUGUCAC